AUGACAGCCAGUAAAAAUCAAAUCCCAAAUCCAAGUUGUAUUAUAGCAAGCUCUCCUUUUUCAUUCUCCUGUAGCCACUGUUACUCUCUCAUUUGUCUUUCUCAUUUCCCCUCUCAGGAGGACUGCCAACCGUGUCUCCCUGGCUACUAUUGUGCUGCUGUGGGCUCGUCAGAGCCUUCGGGAAAAUGCUGGGAAGGUUUCUUCUGUUCCGGCAGAGCAGAUCGCCCCGACCCCCCUUUCACGGACGUCCGUGGAGGACCGUGCCCAAAAGGUUAUUACUGCUCCGAGGGCUCUGCGGCUCCGCGGCCGUGCCCCCCGGGAACCGUCGGCGCAGAAGACGGCCGAGCCAGCUGUAACUCCUGUCCCCGGGGCUUUUAUUGUCCCGGCCACAGUAAUGGCUCUCUCCUGGGGAGCUAUGAAUGUCCAGUGGGUCAUUACUGUCCGUCUGGGACUGGGUCGAAACACCAGUACCCAUGUCCCGCUGGAUCCAUCAACCCACACGUGCGGAUGACCAAGCCCCAGGACUGCUCACCGUGCCCUUCAGGCUCGUUCUGCUCGUCCCCUGGGAACGCUGUUGCAUCAGGCCCGUGCGGCGCAGGUUACUACUGCCUCUCUGGAGCCCGCUCACCUACACCGGAGGACGGAGGUGCAACGGGCGACAGGUGCCCCGAAGGUCAUUACUGCCCCCGGGGCUCCUCGGCACCGCUCCCCUGCCCCACUGGACGCUACAGCAGCCAAACCGGGACCAGUCACGCCUCCGACUGCCUGCCUUGUCCUCCGGGUUGGUUCCCAUCAGCGCAACUCAACACGUGGCUGUUUAAUUAUCAGUCUUGUAUCUAUUAA
rnacentral:lncRNA from 1 species